rnacentral:rRNA from 1 species
GAGGUGCUCAUGUCCUAUCAGCUGGUUGGUGAGGUAACGGCUCACCAAGGCGACGACGGGUAGCCGGCCUGAGAGGGUGAACGGCCACACUGGAACUGAGAUACGGUCCAGACUCCUACGGGAGGCAGCAGUGGGGAAUAUUGGGCAAUGGGGGCAACCCUGACCCAGCGACGCCGCGUGAGGGAAGAAGGCCUUCGGGUUGUAAACCUCUUUUGUAUGGGAAGAAGGACGUGACGGUACCAUACGAAUAAGUCCCGGCUAACUACGUGCCAGCAGCCGCGGUAAUACGUAGGGGACGAGCGUUGUCCGGAAUUACUGGGCGUAAAGGGCGCGCAGGCUGUUUGACAAGUCAGCUGUUAAAUAUGGGGGCUUAACCCUUAUAUGCGGUUGAAACUAUCAGACUGGAGUGCUGUAGAGGCAAGUGGAAUUCCCAGUGUAGCGGUGAAAUGCGUAGAUAUUGGGAAGAACACCGGUGGCGAAGGCGACUUGCUGGGCAGCAACUGACGCUGAGGCGCGAAAGCCAGGGGAGCAAACGGGAUUAGAUACCCCGGUAGUCCUGGCCGUAAA